CAGCCCUGAGGUGUGGCAGUCCAUGAGGAGGACACUUCUCAGGUGCAAGGACACAGCUUUGGUGCAUGCACGUUGGUUGCCCAUCCUGCAGCCACCCCGCCACCCCUGUGCUACUGAAUGCACAGUGCCUGCUUGCUGCUUGUAUCUGUCUUACUGCUUUGGACACUUGGCUUCUAGAGCAUGCUUGCUGUCCCUGCUGCCUGGUGUUAUGGGAAGGAUGGGGAGAGCCCAAGGAGACGUGAUGCUGCAUAGGGGCCUGUGCUGGCUGAAGGUGUGUAGCAGUGCAGAGAAACAAAAUAAAAAGAGCUGAGGUCAUGCAGAAGGAACAAAAU
rnacentral:lncRNA from 1 species